CAGCACCGCGUAAAAUCCACCCGUAAUCACUGGGUCUUCACCCGUAAUUUUGCGUGUAAUUGGUUACAUGCGCCCGUAAUUCACCUCCAGCACCGUGUAAAAUCCACCCGUAAUCACUGGGUCUUCACCCGUAAUUUUGCGUGUAAUUGGUUACAUGCGCCCGUAAUUCACCUCCAGCACCGCGUAAAAUCCACCCGUAAUCACUGGGUCUUCACCCGUAAUUUUGCGUGUAAUUGGUUACAUGCGCCCGUAAUUCACCUCCAGCACCGCGUAAAAUCCACCUGUAAUCACUGGGUCUUCACCCGUAAGUUUGCGUGUAAUGGUUACAUGCGCCCGUAAUUCACCUCCAGCACCGCGUAAAAUCCACCCGUAAUCACUGGGUCUUCACCCGUAAAUGUUCACCUGUAUCCUUGUGCUCAAAUUACGGGACCCGUAACGUGUUACGGACCCGUAAUUUCUGUCAAAUUACGGGUGGAUUGACCCAAAAUUACGGGUAAAAUGACCCCCCUUUUCCCAGAGUUAAACAUAUGUGGGUCAAUCGCCAGCCUUUCACUACCCCAGUCGUCAUCAAAUCGAUCUCGGAGUUCCUGCAAUAGCUGGUCAAUAUCUAGGACAUGUGACGCAGCAAUAUCUACCCUAGCCUCAAUCCCUUCAUCCGCACCACCCUCAAACCCCAUGUCGUACCCUAAAAUUUCUA
rnacentral:lncRNA from 1 species